UACGUAGGGGGCAAGCGUUGUCCGGAAUCAUUGGGCGUAAAGAGCGCGUAGGCGGUCCGGUAAGUCCGCUCUGAAAGUCCGGGGCUCAACCCCGGGAGGCGGGCGGAUACUGUCGGGCUAGAGUCCGGAAGAGGCGAGUGGAAUUCCUGGUGUAGCGGUGAAAUGCGCAGAUAUCAGGAGGAACACCAAUGGCGAAGGCAGCUCGUUGGGACGGUACUGACGCUGAGGCGCGAAAGCGUGGGGAGCGAACAGG
rnacentral:rRNA from 1 species